GUGAAUCAUCAAAUCUUUGAACGCAAAUUGCACUCUCUUGUAUGACGGAGAGUAUGCCUGUGUGAGGGUCAGAUUAAAUAAAAAUCUGUGUGUUUGCUGCCUUUGUUUGUGACUCACUGGAUUUGGGUCGUCUUUUCUUCGGUUAAGUGACCUAAAAUUUUGCAUUAUUUUUUUCGAACGUAUUUAAAUGAUUUUACUUACGUUUGUGAUAUAUAGUACUAUGUUUGGUCAUCCUCAU
rnacentral:misc_RNA from 1 species